rnacentral:rRNA from 1 species
UGAACGCUGGCGGUAGGCCUAACACAUGCGAGUCGCACGGCAGCACAGUAAGAGCUUGCUCUUACGGGUGGCGAGUGGCGGACGGGUGAGGAAUACAUCGGAAUCUACUUUUUCGUGGGGGAUAACGUAGGGAAACUUACGCUAAUACCGCAUACGACCUACGGGUGAAAGCAGGGGAUCUUCGGACCUUGCGCGAUUGAAUGAGCCGAUGUCGGAUUAGCUAGUUGGCGGGGUAAAGGCCCACCAAGGCGACGAUCCGUAGCUGGUCUGAGAGGAUGAUCAGCCACACUGGAACUGAGACACGGUCCAGACUCCUACGGGAGGCAGCAGUGGGGAAUAUUGGACAAUGGGCGCAAGCCUGAUCCAGCCAUACCGCGUGGGUGAAGAAGGCCUUCGGGUUGUAAAGCCCUUUUGUUGGGAAAGAAAAGCAGCAGGUUAAUACCCCGCUGUUCUGACGGUACCCAAAGAAUAAGCACCGGCUAACUUCGUG